AGUCGUAACAAGGUUUUCCGUAGGUGAACCUGCGGAAGGAUCAUUGACGCGGACCCGAGCCACCGGCGCACCCGUCGCGAACCCCCCCUCCCACGAACGGCCGGCUCGCGGGGCGCGCCCCCGAGCGGCCGAACAACACCCCCGGGCGCCGCGCGCGCCAAGGAUGCGGGAACACGAAGGGGCGGCGGCGGCAGUCCCCGCGGGGACGCGGCCGCCGCCCCCCGGAACGGAAAAGCAGCGUACGACUCUCGGCAACGGAUAUCUCGGCUCCUGCAUCGAUGAAGAACGUAGCGAAAUGCGAUACGUGGUGUGAAUUGCAGAAUCCCGUGAACCAUCGAGCCUUUGAACGCAAGUUGCGCCCGAGGCCGCUCGGCCGAGGGCACGCCUGCCUGGGCGUCACCCCACCCAUCGCUCACCCCCUCCACGCGCGGCGUGGCGCGGGGAGCGGGAGACUGGCCGACCCCGCCCCGCGUGCCGGGGCGCGGCGGGCCGAAAAGGCGGUGUCGAAAGAUCGCGGCGCGUGGCGCGACUCGUGGUGGUCCGGAGGCCGGCGCCGUCGCCGCCCGCCCCGCGCUUGGACCUCGCCGCCCGGGGGGGACUCGGCCCCCCCGCGCGCGUUUCGCGGAAGGCGACCCCAGGUCAGGCGGGAGCACCCGCUGAGUUUAA
rnacentral:sRNA from 1 species